UGCCUCAGUAACGGCGAGUGAAGCGGCAACAGCUCAAAUUUGAAAUCUGGCUCCCCUUGGGGGUCCGAGUUGUAAUUUGGAGAGGAUGUUUCUGGCGCGGCGCCUACCGGAGUUCCUUGGAACAGGACGCCACAGAGGGUGAGAGCCCCGUACGGUUGGCCGCCUAGCCUGCACGAAACUCCUUCGACGAGUCGAGUAGUUUGGGAAUGCUGCUCAAAAUGGGAGGUAAAUUUCUUCUAAAGCUAAAUACCGGCCAGAGACCGAUAGCGCACAAGUAGAGUGAUCGAAAGAUGAAAAGCACCUUGAAAAGAGGGUUAAACAGUACGUGAAAUUGUUGAAAGGGAAGCGCCUGCGACCAGACUCGCGCCCCGCGGACCAGCCGGCGUUCUCGCCGGUGCACUCCGCGGGGGGCGGGCCAGCAUCGGUUUUCCCUGGGGGAGAAAGGCUGCGGGAAUGUAGCUCCCUCGGGAGUGUUAUAGCCCGUGGCGCCAUGCCCCAGGGGGGACCGAGGACCGCGCUUCGGCAAGGAUGCUGGCGUAAUGGUCGUCGGCGACCCGUCUUGAAACACGGACCAAGGAGUCAAGCAUUGGGGCGAGUGUCUGGGUGCCAAACCCGCACGCGAAAUGAAAGUAAACGUAGGUGAGAGCUUCGGCGCAUCACCGACCGAUCCUGAUGUCUUCGGAUGGAUUUGAGUAAGAGCCCCACCGCUUGGACCCGAAAGAUGGUGAACUAUGCCUGUAUAGGGUGAAGCCAGAGGAAACUCUGGUGGAGGCUCGCAGCGGUUCUGACGUGCAAAUCGAUCGUCAAAUAUGGGCAUGGGGGCGAAAGACUAAUCGAACCAUCUAGUAGCUGGUUACCGCGA
rnacentral:rRNA from 1 species